rnacentral:rRNA from 1 species
UACGGAGGAUGCGAGCGUUAUCCGGAUUCAUUGGGUUUAAAGGGUACGUAGGUGGCCCUGUAAGUCAGUGGUGAAAACCUGCCGCUUAACGGUAGGCGUGCCAUUGAUACUGCGGGGCUUGAGUACAGAUGAGGUAGGCGGAAUGUGUAGUGUAGCGGUGAAAUGCAUAGAUAUUACACAGAACUCCGAUUGCGAAGGCAGCUUACUAAACUGCAACUGACGCUGAUGUACGAAAGCGUGGGUAGCGAACAGG